GUGCAAGCAUAUUAAUAAAAAUGGUUGCGCUGCGCAGAAAUAAUACAGGGCCUUUUUAUCAUGCUAGAGCUUUUCAGUAGAGCUCUGCGCAUGUUCUGACCUGGAAGAGCAUUGAACUAACAUGCUCACUUUGAGAGGGGGCGUGCUUGCCAUCGGUGAUGACAAAACACACACCCUCUGCCCUGCACCCUUCUCAGUGGGCCGCUGUGAUUAAAAAAUGCCCGGGACAAAAAUUUUUCCCAGUCCGGCCCUUGAUGUAACUAAAAGCGACACAUGAAUGCUAUAUAAUCAUGCAAGACAACAAAAUAUAUUAGUAAUAAUUGCAGACAAUAAUAAGAGCACUGUGAUCCAUAUAUCCC